rnacentral:tRNA from 1 species
UAGAGCAUACGGCUCAUAUCCGUAGUGUCCGGGGUUCGAUUCCCUGCACCGCCA